UUACUUCUGUAAUAUAUUCAUUAUAUUUGACUUCCAAUCAAAAAAUCUAAGUCCCUUAGUAGAAGUAAUUAAGUCA
rnacentral:tRNA from 1 species